rnacentral:rRNA from 1 species
UACAGAGGGGGCAAGCGUUGUUCGGAAUUACUGGGCGUAAAGGGCGCGUAGGCGGCCUGUUAAGUCGGACGUGAAAUCCCUCGGCUCAACCGGGGAACUGCGUCUGAUACUGGUUGGCUCGAGUGCAGGAGAGGAACGCGGAAUUCCAGGUGUAGCGGUGAAAUGCGUAGAUAUCUGGAGGAACACCGGUGGCGAAAGCGGCGUGCUGGAUUCCUACUGACGCUGAGGCACGAAAGCCAGGGGAGCAAACGGG